CCUACGGGUGGCUGCAGUGAGGAAUAUUGGUCAAUGGACGAGAGUCUGAACCAGCCAAGUAGCGUGAAGGAUGACUGCCCUAUGGGUUGUAAACUUCUUUUAUAUGGGAAUAAAACGUUCCACGUGUGGGAUUUUGUAUGUACCAUAUGAAUAAGGAUCGGCUAACCCCGUGCCAGCAGCCGCGGUAAUACGGAGGGUCCGAGCGUUAUCCGGAUUUAUUGGGUUUAAAGUGAACGUAGGUGGGUUGUUAAGUCAGUUGUGAAAGUUUGCGGGUGAACCGUAAAAUUGCAGUUGAAACUGGCAGUCUUGAGUACAGUAGAGGUGGGCGGAAGUCGAGGUGUAGCGGUGAAAUGCUUAGAUAUCACGAAGAACUCCGAUUGCGAAGGCAGUUCACUGGACUGCAACUGACACUGAGGCUCGAAAGUGUGGGUAUCAAACAGGAUUAGAUACCCCAGUAGUC
rnacentral:rRNA from 1 species